rnacentral:rRNA from 1 species
CCUACGGGAGGCAGCAGUAGGGAAUCUUUCACAAUGGGCGAAAGCCUGAUGGAGCAACGCCGCGUGCAGGAUGAAGGCCUUCGGGUUGUAAAAUGCUUUUAUAAGCGAGAAAUAUGAUGGUAACUUAUGAAUAAGGAUCGGCUAACUACGUGCCAGCAGCCGCGGUCAUACGUAGGAUGCGAGCAUUAUCCGGAGUGACUGGGUGUAAAGAGUUGCGUAGGUGGCAUAAUAAGUAGCUAGUGAAAUCUGGUGGCUCAACCAUUCAUACUAUUAGCUAAACUGUUAAGCUCGAGACCGUUAGAGGUAACUGGAAUUUCUAGUGUAGGAGUGAAAUCCGUAGAUAUUAGAAGGAACACCAAUAGCGUAGGCAGGUUGCUGGGACGGUUCUGACACUAAGGCACGAAAGCGUAGGGAGCAAACGGGAUUAGAUACCCGGGUAGUC